UAUCGGCGCGCUCCAGGGCCUGCGGCUGGGGCUGCCUCUGGAGCGAGUCUCAGCCCGCCCGCCAGCCGUGGGGGAAGGGAGGCUCCCCGCCGCCGGUCGCGGCCUUUAUCGUAAAGACCAGCUAGCGGGGCGGGCGGAAAAGGCAGAGGCCUCUUGUGCGGGCGGUGAUGGGCCGCCCGCCCGCGGCACGUUCGUCCGCGCCCCUACGCGUGGAAACCCCGCCGCCCCGGGGGACUGCGGCCCGGCCUGGCCCGCCGGGGCUGGCACCCUCGGACCCGGCUCAGAGAGGACAAGUUUCCCCCCGCUCCCGUUUCUUGAGUCCAGUAUUUUCUUUCAUUGGUGCUAAGCAUCAGCAGUUCCCAUUGAUGAAGUUCCACAGAAAGACAGAGAUGCCAAACAACUGAGAGCAGCAGUUCCUGACCUUGAGGCAGAAACACCACCGCAGUUAAACAGUGGGAAAUGAAGACUUCUGGCAAUGUAUUACCAGUCACAACUCUGCAGAGCUCCAACUAAUACUUUGAAGAAUAGCAGCAAUCCUGGAACCAGAUUUUCAAAACAGAUGUGCGUGAAAAUCUGAAGCAAUCCUGGUCAACGGGGGAGGUCCCAGACAACUGGAGGCUUGCCAAUGUGAUGCCCAUUUACAAGAAGGGUCAGAGGGAGGAU